rnacentral:rRNA from 1 species
UCAAGUAAUUAAGUGCAUGUGGUGGAUGCCUUGGCAGUCAGAGGCGAUGAAAGACGUGAUAGCCUGCGAAAAGCUCCGGGGAGGCGGCAAAUAUCCUUUGAUCCGGAGAUGUCUGAAUGGGGGAACCCACCUACUUUAAGGUAGGUAUUGCAACAUGAAUACAUAGUGUUGCAAGGCGAACGAGGGGAAGUGAAACAUCUCAGUACCCUUAGGAAAAGAAAUCAAUUGAGAUUCCCUCAGUAGCGGCGAGCGAACGGGGAUCAGCCCAUUAAGUUAUGUGUGUUUUAGUGGAACGCUCUGGGAAGUGCGAACGUAGAGGGUGAUAUUCCCGUACACGAAAGGGCACACAUAAUGAUGACGAGUAGGGCGAGGCACGUGAAACCUUGUCUGAAUAUGGGGGGACCAUCCUCCAAGGCUAAAUACUCCUGACUGACCGAUAGUGAACCAGUACCGUGAGGGAAAGGCGAAAAGAACCCCUGUGAGGGGAGUGAAAUAGAUCCUGAAACCGCAUGCAUACAAGCAGUGGGAGCACCUUCGUGGUGUGACUGCGUACCUUUUGUAUAAUGGGUCAGCGACUUAUAUUCAGUAGCGAGGUUAACCGUAUAGGGGAGCCGUAGAGAAAUCGAGUCUUAAUAGGGCGUUUAGUUGCUGGGUAUAGACCCGAAACCAGGCGAUCUAUCCAUGAGCAGGUUGAAGGUUGGGUAACACUAACUGGAGGACCGAACCCACUGUCGUUGAAAAGCCAGGGGAUGACUUGUGGAUAGGGGUGAAAGGCUAAUCAAGCCUGGUGAUAGCUGGUUCUCCCCGAAAGCUAUUUAGGUAGCGCCUCGGACGAAUACCAUAGGGGGUAGAGCACUGUUUCGGCUAGGGGGUCAUCCCGACUUACCAAACCGAUGCAAACUCCGAAUACCUAUGAGUACUAUCCGGGAGACAGACUGCGGGUGCUAACGUCCGUAGUCAAGAGGAAAACAAUCCAGACCGCCAGCUAAGGCCCCAAAAUCAUAGUUAAGUGGGAAACGAUGUGGGAAGGCAUAGACAGCUAGGAGGUUGGCUUAGAAGCAGCCACCCUUUAAAGAAAGCGUAAUAGCUCACUAGUCGAGUCGGCCUGCGCGGAAGAUGUAACGGGGCUAAAACUAUGUGCCGAAGCUGCGGAUGUAUACUUUGUAUACGUGGUAGGGGAGCGUUCUGUAAGCCGAUGAAGGUGUGUUGAGAAGCAUGCUGGAGGUAUCAGAAGUGCGAAUGCUGACGUGAGUAACGACAAAACGGGUGAAAAACCCGUUCGCCGAAAGACCAAGGGUUCCAGUCCAACGUUAAUCGGGGCUGGGUGAGUCGACCCCUAAGGCGAGGCCGAAAGGCGUAGUCGAUGGGAAAAUGGUUAAUAUUCCAUUACUUCUGUGUAAUGCGAUGAGAGGACGGAGAAGGCUAAAUCAGCCUGGCGUUGGUUGUCCAGGUGAAAGGAUGUAGGCAUGUAUCUUAGGCAAAUCCGGGGUACUCUAUGCUGAGAUCUGAUAGCAAGCUGUACUUGUACAGCGAAGUGGUUGAUGCCAUGCUUCCAGGAAAAGUCUCUAAGCUUCAGUUACACAGGAAUCGUACCCGAAACCGACACAGGUGGUCAGGUCGAGUAGACCAAGGCGCUUGAGAGAACUCUGCUGAAGGAACUAGGCAAAAUGGUACCGUAACUUCGGGAGAAGGUACGCUGUUGUUGGUGAUGGAACUCGCUUCCUGAGCUGACGACAGCCGCAGAAACCAGGCCGCUGCAACUGUUUAUUAAAAACAUAGCACUCUGCAAACACGAAAGUGGACGUAUAGGGUGUGAUGCCUGCCCGGUGCUGGAAGGUUAAUUGAUGGGGUUAGCGUAAGCGAAGCUCUUGAUCGAAGCCCCAGUAAACGGCGGCCGUAACUAUAACGGUCCUAAGGUAGCGAAAUUCCUUGUCGGGUAAGUUCCGACCUGCAC